rnacentral:tRNA from 1 species
GCGCCCGUAGCUCAACUGGAUAGAGUGGCGGACUUCGGAUCCGUUGGUUGAAGGUUCGAAUCCUUCCGGGCGUA